rnacentral:rRNA from 1 species
UACGUAGGGGGCAAGCGUUGUCCGGAUUUAUUGGGCGUAAAGAGCGUGUAGGCGGUUAGGUAGGUCCGUUGUGAAAACUCGAGGCUCAACCUCGAGACGCCGAUGGAAACCAUCUGACUAGAGUCCGGAAGAGGAGAGUGGAAUUCCUGGUGUAGCGGUGAAAUGCGCAGAUAUCAGGAGGAACACCAAUGGCGAAGGCAGCUCGCUGGGACGUGACUGACGCUGAGACGCGAAAGCGUGGGGAGCAAACAGG